rnacentral:lncRNA from 10 species
CCCGGGCCUCCCCGGCCUCCCGCCCUCGCGCCCCUCGGGAGGCUGUAGUCCUGCCCCCGGCGCGGCCAGCCCGCGCUCCCGCACACCCCGCCCGCUCGCCCGCGCGUGUGUACGUGCGCCGGAGGCCUGGAGAGACCGGAGUUUAACGCCCAGUCUUCUUCCUAAGUUGGAGAAAUGGGAAACGAUUUGAAAGCUGCCAACCGGAGGUGAAAAUCUUGCCACUUGUGAAACUGAAGGAACAUCCCCAAGGCCUGGCUUCUCCUUUUAACAGAAGGUGCUCAGAGGAACUUUCCUCUUGCCCACUGCCCUCAUCCUCUAGCAAUUUUCAAAGAGCUUCUGAGGUGCUGAUCCUCCUAGCUAUAGUCUUCGUACUGCUGCCACAAAUUCUUCUGUAAGGAUUAGAAUGACAUAAAGGAGACAGAUCACUUUUGUCUCGGUGGUAGUAAAGCAACCUGUGCCUCUGGCUUUCAGGGGGAAGGGCUGGGCCGCUGUAAAUCUAGUUUUCCUUCCUCUCCUGGGCCAGCUGUGGAGGAGAGGGAGGGAGAGAAGGAGAAGAUAAUCAAGAUCAGCUGUAAAUCUAGUUUUCCUUCCUCUACUGGGCCAGGUGUGGAGGAGAGGGAGGGACAGAAGGAGAAGAUAAUCAAGGUCAGCCUUUCCUGACCCCUUGGUCUAAGCAGACUAGACCUUAUUGGAGAUAACACUUCUACUCAAACAGGGGUCCAUGUGGACCAAUGUAUUACCCCAGCCCCAUGCAGGUCUUGUCAGGUUUCUCUCAAGGAACAAAUAUUUAUCUAACCUAGCCCCUGUUCCAAGUACUACAGGAGAAAUAUCAUUGUCCCAAACUACACACACUCUAGUCUGACCUGUCUCCCACUCCAACUCCCCACAUCUUUCCACUGUAGCCUCUGGAACUUAGAAUCUUCUUCAGCAAAAUUCUCUUCGUUUUCGACUUCUCGAAAUAUUUCUUUAACGUUUUUGCUCUCGCUGAAAUCUACUUAUCCCUCCUUUAACCCCUCUCUCUUCCCUCUUGUUCAGUCUGCUCCUGAGAAGUUGAUGUGACUUGCAUGACUUGGAUUAAUAAAUUUGCAAAUACAACUGGGUAUGCUCACUCAGUUUGACCAUUUUCCUCUUAAGAGAGAACCGCCUGAAGGAAGCAGUCUUCCU